rnacentral:rRNA from 1 species
CUUAAAGGAAUUGACGGGACCCGCACAAGCGGUGGAUGAUGUGGUUUAAUUCGAUGCACGCGAAAAACCUUACCCACCUUUGACAUGGCAGGAAUCCCGAAGAGAUUUGGGAGUGCUCGAAAGAGAACCUGCACACAGGUGCUGCAUGGCUGUCGUCAGCUCGUGUCGUGAGAUGUUGGGUUAAGUCCCGCAACGAGCGCAACCCUUGCCAUUAGUUGCUACGAAAGGGCACUCUAAUGGGACUGCCGGUGACAAACCGGAGGAAGGUGGGGAUGACGUCAAGUCCUCAUGGCCCUUAUAGGUGGGGCUACACACGUCAUACAAUGGCCGGUACAGAGGGUAGCCAACCCGCGAGGGGGAGCCAAUCCCACAAAGCCGGUCGUAGUCCGGAUCGCAGUCUGCAACUCGACUGCGUGAAGUCGGAAUCGCUAGUAAUCGCGGAUCAGCAUGUCGCGGUGAAUACGCUCCCGGGUCUU